AGAGGAAAAGGACCCCCGAUGUAAAAGAGGACGCAUAGUGUAGAAGCAGCCAGAGGAUGAACAGUGUACUUCCUGGGCUGGCAAGGGCAUACGGAACUCCGUGGAAGCUGCAGGUGAACAGCUCCAUCAUCCUGGGGACCCGUUAAUGAGAUGACCUUUAGUUUUGCCUCGAAGGGCAGUAGAAUUGUAAAGGGUGGGAGAAGGGAGACAGAAGGUGUCAAUAUUUCAAGGAGGAGGAACAGCAGAAGAAAGGGCACAGACGAAUGAGAGGCAAUAAUUUGUUUGUGGGACCUCGCGUCUGAAGCCCCCACGGGAGAAGCCUGGUGAGAAACGAGCCAGUGGAAGAACAAGACAGCUCCUGCCAAACCUGCCCAGGCAUUUUAACCAAUUCAGGUUCUUAUUCCACAGUGUACAUCGGAGAGGCACAGUUUAUGACUGAAAUCUCAGCAGGUAGAAGGCUGGAGAAGGAUUAAGAGAUCAACCACAGUCCACCCUACGUAUCGUAUCGGGAGUGAGUCUCGAGCAAACAAAGAAGUUAACCAAUAACAAGAGCCACUGGGGUUGCAGUGUGGAAGUUAGUGUAAAGGAAGAAAUCAGAGGCAGGAGGAAUUGCUGAUAAAGUACUAGAGUCACUCCAGGUAGAGGAGAAGCUGAGGAGACCGGGCAGAGAUUCGAUAUUAAAACCAAAGAGAAGCAAACCUGAAGGAGGACAGCCAGAAACUAUUCCUUAAAACUCUCCACUUCAAUCGCAAGGACUUUGAAAUGCCUGGAAGCCAGUCUUCUCCUGUUUGCCUUUGGAACAAGAUGUAGAACUCCUCUAGCGCCGUGUCUGCCUGGAUGCUGCUAUACUUCCUGCCAUGAUGGUAAUAGACUGAACCUCAGAACCAAUAAGCCAGCCCCAAUUAAAUGUUGUCCUUUAUAAGA